rnacentral:rRNA from 1 species
CCCUUAGAUGUCCUGGGCCGCACGCGCGUUACACUGAUGCAUUCAACGAGCUUAUAACCUUGGCCGAGAGGCCUGGGCAAUCUUGUUAACGUGCAUCGUGAUAGGGAUAGAUUAUUGAAAUUAUUAAUCUUGAACGAGGGAUUCCUAGUAAACGCAGAUCAUCAAUCUGCAUUGAUUACGUCCCUGCCCUUUGUACACACCGCCCGUCGCACCUACCGAUUGGAUGGUCCGGUGAAGCCUCGGGAUUGUGGUUCUUGCCGCUUUAUUGUGGCGUGACCGCGAGAACUUGUCUAAACCUUAUCAUCUAGAGGAAGGUGAAGUCGUAACA